CAGCCGCCACGGUAAUACGAAGGGGGCUAGCGUUGCUCGGAAUCACUGGGCGUAAAGGGUGCGUAGGCGGGUUUUUAAGUCAGGGGUGAAAUCCUGGAGCUCAACUCCAGAACUGCCCUUGAUACUGGGAAUCUUGAGUAUGGGAGAGGUGAGUGGAACUGCGAGUGUAGAGGUGAAAUUCGUAGAUAUUCGCAAGAACACCAGUGGCGAAGGCGGCUCACUGGCCCAUAACUGACGCUGAGGCACGAAAGCGUGGGGAGCGAACAGAAUUAGAUACCCGCGUAGUCCCUGUCUCUUAUAC
rnacentral:rRNA from 1 species